rnacentral:rRNA from 1 species
UUUGAUCCUGGCUCAGGAUGAACGCUAGCGGCAGGCUUAACACAUGCAAGUCGAGGGGUAGGGAAAGCUUGCUUUUCUGAGACCGGCGCACGGGUGCGUAACGCGUAUGCAAUCUACCUUUCACAAAGGGAUAGCCCAGAGAAAUUUGGAUUAAUACCUUAUAGUAUUAUAGAAUGGCAUCAUUUUAUAAUUAAAGAUUUAUCGGUGAAAGAUGAGCAUGCGUCCCAUUAGCUAGUUGGUAUGGUAACGGCAUACCAAGGCUACGAUGGGUAGGGGUCCUGAGAGGGAGAUCCCCCACACUGGUACUGAGACACGGACCAGACUCCUACGGGAGGCAGCAGUGAGGAAUAUUGGACAAUGGGCGCAAGCCUGAUCCAGCCAUGCCGCGUGCAGGAUGACGGUCCUAUGGAUUGUAAACUGCUUUUAUACAGGAAGAAACACCUCUACGUGUAGAGACUUGACGGUACUGUAAGAAUAAGGAUCGGCUAACUCCGUGCCAGCAGCCGCGGUAAUACGGAGGAUCCAAGCGUUAUCCGGAAUCAUUGGGUUUAAAGGGUCCGUAGGCGGUCAGAUAAGUCAGUGGUGAAAGCCCAUCGCUCAACGGUGGAACGGCCAUUGAUACUGUCUGACUUGAAUUAUUAGGAAGUAACUAGAAUAUGUAGUGUAGCGGUGAAAUGCUUAGAGAUUACAUGGAAUACCAAUUGCGAAGGCAGGUUACUACUAAUUGAUUGACGCUGAGGGACGAAAGCGUGGGUAGCGAACAGGAUUAGAUACCCUGGUAGUCCACGCCGUAAACGAUGGAUACUAGCUGUUGGGAGCAAUCUCAGUGGCUAAGCGAAAGUGAUAAGUAUCCCACCUGGGGAGUACGAACGCAAGUUUGAAACUCAAAGGAAUUGACGGGGGCCCGCACAAGCGGUGGAGCAUGUGGUUUAAUUCGAUGAUACGCGAGGACCUUACCAAGGCUUAAAUGUAGUUUGACCGGUUGGAAACAGUCUUUCGCAAGACAAAUUACAAGGUGCUGCAUGGUUGUCGUCAGCUCGUGCCGUGAGGUGUCAGGUUAAGUCCUAUAACGAGCGCAACCCCUGUUGUUAGUUGCCAGCGAGUCAUGUCGGGAACUCUAACGAGACUGCCAGUGCAAACUGUGAGGAAGGUGGGGAUGACGUCAAAUCAUCACGGCCCUUACGCCUUGGGCUACACACGUGCUACAAUGGCCGGUACAGAGAGCAGCCACUGGGCGACCAGGAGCGAAUCUACAAAACCGGUCACAGUUCGGAUCGGAGUCUGCAACUCGACUCCGUGAAGCUGGAAUCGCUAGUAAUCGGAUAUCAGCCAUGAUCCGGUGAUACGUUCCCGGGCCUUGUACACACCGCCCGUCAAGCCAUGGAAGCUGGGGUGCCUGAAGUCGGUGACCGCAAGGAGCUGCCUAGGGUAAAACUGGUAACUAGGGCUAAGUCGUAACAAGUAGCCGUACCGGAAGUGCGGCUGGAUCACCUCCUUA